rnacentral:rRNA from 1 species
GAUGAACGCUGGCGGCGUGCCUAAUACAUGCAAGUCGAGCGAACGGACGAGAAGCUUGCUUUUCUGAUGUUAGCGGCGGACGGGUGAGUAACACGUGGAUAACCUACCUAUAAGACUGGGAUAACUUCGGGAAACCGGAGCUAAUACCGGAUAAUAUUUUGAACCGCAUGGUUCAAAAGUGAAAGACGGUCUUGCUGUCACUUAUAGAUGGAUCCGCGCUGCAUUAGCUAGUUGGUAAGGUAACGGCUUACCAAGGCAACGAUGCAUAGCCGACCUGAGAGGGUGAUAGGCCACACGGGAACUGAGACACGGACCAGACUCCUACGGGAGGCAGCAGUAGGGAAUCUUCCGCAAUGGGCGAAAGCCUGACGGAGCAACGCCGCGUGAGUGAUGAAGGUGUUCGGAGCGUAAAACUCUGUUAUUAGGGAAGAACAUAUGUGUAAGUAACUGUGCACAGCUUGACGGUACCUAAUCAGAAAGCCACGGCUAACUACGUG